rnacentral:rRNA from 1 species
UACGUAGGGUCCGAGCGUUGUCCGGAAUUACUGGGCGUAAAGAGCUCGUAGGUGGUUUGUCACGUUGUUCGUGAAAACCCACAGCUCAACUGUGGGCGUGCGAGCGAUACGGGCAGACUAGAGUACUGCAGGGGAGACUGGAAUUCCUGGUGUAGCGGUGGAAUGCGCAGAUAUCAGGAGGAACACCGGUGGCGAAGGCGGGUCUCUGGGCAUUAACUGACGCUGAGGAGCGAAAGCAUGGGGAGCGAACAGG